rnacentral:tRNA from 1 species
GGAGGUAUAGCUCAGUGGUAGAGUGCAUGCUUAGCAGGCAUGAGGCCCUGGGUUCAGUACCUCCA